GUAGGGAAUAUUGGGCAAUGGAUGCAAGUCUGACCCAGCCAUCCCGCGUGCCGGAAGAAGGCCCUCAGGGUUGUAAACGGCUUUUGACGGUGAAGAAUCGACAGGAUGCGUCCUGUUUUGACGGUAGCCGUUGAAUAAGCACCGGCUAACUCCGUGCCAGCAGCCGCGGUAAUACGGAGGGUGCGAGCGUUGUCCGGAUUUAUUGGGUUUAAAGGGUGCGUAGGCUGGAAGGUCAGUCAGCGGUGAAAAGCUGUCGCUUAACGAUAGUCUUGCCGCAGAUACUUCCUUUCUUGGAUGAGAAGGAGGCCACUGGAACGGAUGGUGUAGCGGUGAAAUGCAUAGAUAUCAUCCAGAACACCGAUUGCGAAGGCAGGUGGCUGUACCUUAAUCGACGCUGAUGCACGAAAGCAUGGGGAGCAAACAGGAUUAGAAACCCCGGUAGUCC
rnacentral:rRNA from 1 species